rnacentral:rRNA from 1 species
UAGUCCGCGCCGUAAACGAUGUCAACUAGCCGUUGGAGAACUUGAUUCUUUAGUGGCGCAGCUAACGCGAUAAGUUGACCGCCUGGGGAGUACGGCCGCAAGGUUAAAACUCAAAUGAAUUGACGGGGGCCCGCACAAGCGGUGGAGCAUGUGGUUUAAUUCGAUGCAACGCGCAGAACCUUACCAGGUCUUGACAUCCCGAGAAGUCGCUAGAGAUAGCUUCGUGCCUUCGGGAACUCGGUGACAGGUGCUGCAUGGCUGUCGUCAACUCGUGUCGUGAGAUGUUGGGUUAAGUCCCGUAACGAGCGCAACCCUUGUCCUUUGUUGCCAGCACGUCAUGGUGGGAACUCAAAGGAGACUGCCGGUGACAAACCGGAGGAAGGUGGGGACGACGUCAAGUCAUCAUGGCCCUUACGACCUGGGCUACACACGUGCUACAAUGGCCGGUACAAAGGGCAGCAAAGCGGUGACGUGGAGCCAAUCCCAUAAAACCGGUCGUAGUCCGGAUCGGAGUCUGCAA